AAGAGUCAGUCCUUAGCAGUGAUUGGAGUGUGUGCGUGCGUGCGUGUGUGUGUCUUCAACCAGAUGCCUCAAGUGCCCUUAAAGAAAUAUCUUUGUAGUUACAUUUUUAUCAUUCUGUUAAAAAAAAGUGAAAUCUCAUUCCCUUCUGUUGUGUGUGAACUAUACAAAACAUCACUCCGAUAUCAUGCUAAUGUAGAAUCAGUUCUAUUCAUGCAUCACAGAAUAUUUGUGUCCCAGAUCAGCUGUCUUUCUUUUUGCUUUAUGAAAUGUUCUAAACAUGGCCUCUGACCUUUGAACUGACUUGGGGACUCACGUCACCAAAAUGCUUUUAGCUGCCGUAAUAUUAUUCAUACUAUAGUAAAUAAUGUUUUUUUUUAAAAGCAACAAAACCAUCCAAAACCCCAGACUAAAAGUUUGACAGGCACUGUAAUGUAUUUUUGGCUGUAAAUUGGUAUUUAUGUCUGUACCCUGUGAAGCAGUGUUGUACAGAGGGAAAAUUGUUUGUGCUUUGUAACUGGUUUUAUUGUGAUACUUUUUUAUAAUAAAACGAUUCAUUGUGUA